rnacentral:rRNA from 1 species
GACGAACGCUGGCGGCGUGCUUAACACAUGCAAGUCGAACGGAAAGGCCCUGCUUUUGUGGGGUGCUCGAGUGGCGAACGGGUGAGUAACACGUGAGUAACCUGCCCUUGACUUUGGGAUAACUUCAGGAAACUGGGGCUAAUACCGGAUAGGAGCUCCUGCUGCAUGGUGGGGGUUGGAAAGUUUCGGCGGUGGUGGAUAGACUCGCGGCUUAUCAGCUUGUUGGUGGGGUAGUUGCUUACCAAGGCUUUGACGGGUAGCCGGCCUGAGAGGGUGACCGGGCACAUUGGGCCUACGAUACGGCCCAGACUGCUACGGGAGGCAGCAGGGGGGAAUCUUGCGCAAUGGGCGGAAGCCUGAUGCAGCAACGCCGCGUGCGGGAUGCCGGCCUUCGGGUUGUAAACAGCUUUCGCAUGUGACGAAGCGUGCGUGACGGUAAUGGGUAAAGAAGCACCGGCUAACUACGUG